CUCUCUAUUCCCCUCCCUCCCUGGCCUGGCAGAGCUGGACCUGCAGCGGACGCUGAGUUUGCAGGCGCCACCUGUGAAGGAGGGGCCACUCUUCAUCCACAGGACCAAGGGCAAGGGCCCCCUCAUGUCCUCCUCCUUCAAGAAGCUCUACUUCUCCCUCACUACCGAGGCCCUCAGCUUCGCGAAGACGCCCAGCUCCAAGUGUGUGAAUGAGCUUAACCAGUGGCUGUCUGUGCUGCGGAAGGUGAGCAUCAACAACACCGGACUGCUGGGCUCCUACCACCCUGGCAUCUUCUGUGGGGACAAGUGGAGCUGCUGCCACCAAAAAGAGAAGACAGGUGGGAGAGGAGGCCUGGGUCCCGGGCUCUGCAUCCGUCCACUGCGAGAUCGGGCCUCUGGCUGAACGAUGGGACCGUGAGCCCUGCUGUGCACCUGCAGGGACAUAACCCAAGGAAUGCUGGCCCCUCCAGGAGCUCUGGGCAGAAAGGGUCCCGUGGACCAGGUCAGGGCUGCGAUAAGACCCGGUCACGGGUGACCCUGCAGGAGUGGAAUGACCCUCUUGACCAUGACCUUGAGGCCCAGCUCAUCUACCGGCACCUGCUGGGCGUGGAGGCCAUGCUGUGGGAGAGGCACCGGGAGCUGAGCGGGGGUGCAGAGGCAGGCACGGUGCCCACGAGCCCUGGCAAAGUCCCCGAGGACUCAUUGGCCCGGCUGCUCCGGGUGCUGCAGGACCUCCGCGAGGCCCAUAGCUCCAGCCCGGCCGGCUCCCCACCCUCAGAGCCCAACUGCCUCCUGGAGCUGCAGACGUGAGGCCCGCCCUACGCUCCCUUGCUGAGUCCCCUGCCAAGCGCUCGGAGCCCCUCCAGGACACUCUGCACCCCCUCACCCCGGUCCUCCUCAUUAGGGUGCAGGGCCUAGGUCUCUUCCAAGUGGGGGAGGGGGGAGAGUCAGGAAUAAGGGGAUCCCCAGAAGUGCAGAGCUGAGCAGGCUUGGGCCUGUCAUGGCUGGCCUGAAGUGUCCCCAGCUCCCUACAGCCGCUGUAGCCAUCACUGCCUCUCCAGGGACCCUCCUCUCCUGCCUAGGACAGACCCAGCCAGAACCACUGCUAGGAUGGGCCACACCCAGGGGUCUGGCCUCCAGGGACCUAGAGAAUGGGAGGGAGAACGGGGCCCCAGGAGACCCGGCCGCCACCCCACCCGCUACCCUUGGGUGCCACAGGGCUGUGCUGUUGCCAACAGUAAACCUGCUGUUACUGUCCAGGCUCUGGGGUCUUGUGAUGAGGGUCUGGGGAGAAAGUGGGCCCGGGGGGACCCCGGAGGCUGUCGGUGGAUGUGCCGAUGAUGGGGCUGACAGUAUGGGCUCUGGGCAUCCCUGUUCCCCCCUCUUUCUUCCCCCCACUCUUCUGGGGUCGGGGGUUCCUUUCCCUUCCCAGUUGCUGUCCCUGGGUCCCCUCUUUCAUGUCCCACAGGCCACAGAGCCCAGUGUGUCCAACCAGCUGUUCUCUCCUCAAAGCAGCCCCCAAGCAAGUCCCUUCUCUAGGGUGUCCCUGAGGACAGCACAGAUGCGGGACUCAGAGACCCCAUUCCUCUUCACGCAGCCCUUACCCCAAGCCCUCUAGCUGUGUGGCUGGCAGUGUUGGCCACGUAGGGGCUCCCAUCCCCCCACCAUUGUGUCACAUAGGCUGCCAGGCUCAGCUCCCAGCUGCGUCCACAGUGACCUGGAUCAGGGUGGGGACAAGGACUGGACCCUCCUUCUCCAGAAGGCCUUCAGCUCUUGCCUUGCCAUGCAGUCACCUCCUUCCCCCUCUGACCCCAGAUCCCAAAGGUGCACCGUUGCCCCAGCCCCUUUCUGGCCCCAUGGGGUUUCUCUGAUGCCUUCAUCAUAGAGGCCCGGGGCUGGUCCGAUGGUUGGCAAAACUUGACUCCGGCCCAGUCCCCACUCUUGGGGACUUAGAACCCCUGGUGUCCUGGGAUCUGGCCUGCCUUUCUUUGGUCAGUCCCUGUGGUCCCCCACCAGCUCCCCCUCCCAUAGGGCUGCCCACCAAGCCCUGCCCCCAGCCCAAGAGGAGCCCCCACUGCCUGCGGGGCAGUGAUGUCUGGCCACCGGCUCACACCAAUGACUUGGUCCUGGGGUGGCAGAAGCAGCAGGUGACAGGAGCAGGGCCCCUGUCCCUCUCUUCUGGCCCUGUGGUACCCAGGCCACACGUUGUGCCCGCUCUUAGGGCUGACCGGCUGCAGGGACCACCAGCCGCUGCUACUGUGGGCCGCCCCGGGGCAGGGUGGGCAGGGCUUUUGUGGGUUAUGAGGACACAGAAGUCCCUGAGGCCCCCAGACCUGGCACAGCCAACCUCCUUCCUCCCCCGGUUGCCCCCAACUCUAAAGCCUCCUCCCUCCCAGUGUCCACUGGCUCCAGGCUCCUCACAACAGCAGCUCAUAGACACAGGGCGUCUCCAGGUGUCCCAGCCCUCCAGAUGUUUCUAGCUCUCCAGAUGGGCGCUGUUUUCACGUCUGCCUGCAUCCAUUCAUUCCUUCAUUCCUCACCUUUAUCCUGUUAUCUCUAUUUUUUUAAGCUACCAGGAAGGAAAGGGAAGAAGAGAUCACGAAACUGGGACCCCCAGAAGGGAGGAGUGGGCUUUGAACUUAGACAUCUACCUCAGAGCUCAAAUAGGUUGUUUAAAAUCACAUUCAAUUUUCAGAUGAAGGGGAACUUUAUAGUUUUUUUUGUUUGUUUGUUUUUUUGAGACAGAGUCUCACUCUGUUGCCCAGGCUGGAGUGCAAAUGGCUUGAUCUUGGUUCACUGCAACCUCUGCCUCCCAGGUUCAAGCAAUUCUCUUGCCUCAGCCUCCCGAGUAGCUGGGACUACAGGCGUGUGCCACCACGCCCAGCUAAUUCUUGUAUUUUUAGUAGAGACGGAGUUUCUCCAUGUUGGCCAGACUGGUCUCGAACUCCUGACCUCAGGUGAUCUGACCGCCUUGGCUUCCGAAAGUGCUGAGAUUACAGUUGCGAGCCACUGUGCAUGGCCAGAACUUUAUAAUAAUUAAAAGAGACUUGAAGCUGGGUGUGACGGUGCACACCUCUAGUCCCAGCUACUCGGGAGGCCAAGGCAGAAGGAUCACCUUGAGGCCAGGAGUUUAAGGCCAGCCUGGGCAACAUAGCAAAACCUAGUCCCUAAAAUUAAAAAAAAAAAAAAAAAA
rnacentral:lncRNA from 1 species